UACGUAGGGGGCAAGCGUUGUCCGGAAUCAUUGGGCGUAAAGCGCGUGUAGGCGGUCCGGUAAGUCCGCUGUGAAAGUCGGGGGCUCAACCCUCGAAUGCCGGUGGAUACUGUCGGGCUAGAGUGCGGAAGAGGCGAGUGGAAUUCCUGGUGUAGCGGUGAAAUGCGCAGAUAUCAGGAGGAACACCUAUUGCGAAGGCAGCUCGGUGGGACGUAACUGACGCUGAGACGCGAAAGCGUGGGGAGCAAACAGG
rnacentral:rRNA from 1 species